AACAAACGCUGGCGGCGUGCCUAAUACAUGCAAGUCGAACGGGGAAAGUCUUCGGAUGAGUACUAGUGGCGCACGGGUGAGGAACACGUAGAUAAUCUGCCCCUAGGCGGGGAAUAACUGGUCGAAAGAUCAGCUAAUACCGCAUAAGACCACGACUUCUGAGGAAGGUGGGGUUAAAGGCUUCGGCCACCUAGGGAUGAGUCUGCGUCCGAUUAGCUAGUUGGUGAGGUAAGAGCUCACCAAGGCGACGAUCGGUAACUGGUCUGAGAGGAUGACCAGUCACUCUGGGACUGAGACACGGCCCAGACUCCUACGGGAGGCAGCAGUAGGGAAUAUUGCACAAUGGAGGAAACUCUGAUGCAGCGACGCCGCGUGAGUGAUGAAGGCCCUCGGGUUGUAAAGCUCUGUUCUUAGGGAAUAAAAAAAUGAAGGUACCUAAGGAGAAAGGACCGGCUAACUUCGUGCCAGCAGCCGCGGUAA
rnacentral:rRNA from 1 species